rnacentral:lncRNA from 1 species
CAAAACUUAAUGCUAAAAAUGACAAUACUUUUGGGAUGAUCCGAUAUAACGAGAAUAUCUCAGAAGUUUAAAUGUUUAACAUUAGAACCAAAUGAUGUAGCAUCAAGAUUAUCUUUAAUGGAAAAGCGUUACUGUCGAAUUUUGUGGAAAUAUAUUGAAUGUUUCAAAACUUAUUUAUGUGGACACGCACACAAACAUCAGACAGUUAACAUGAUGAUGUUGUUAGCCAUUUUCUUCGAAAAGUGAGCUAAAAAUAAAUACUAUAACAGCAUUUAAAUGGAAGGCAGUUUUUUUUUUGUGUGCAGUUUCGUUCCGGUUCCCACCGUGUUGGUACUAAGCGGCUUGGCAUUUCAGUUACCACCACUGGCUGCCCACAUCUCUGAUGCGGUCAGCUGUCAGGUAAGGAUGGAGUUCAACGGACCAGACCGGGGCUGGACCUCUCCUGAAAAAAAUCUGGAGAUGUGGAAACCGGGAAUUGAACCCGGAUGAUCCAUAGUGGGAGGAUAGCACUCCUCCGCCGCAGCCAUCUGCCAAUAAAUGGAAGGCAUUAAUGCAAGUUAUAACAACAGCAAAUAUACAAAAUAAAUACUAUUUGACUUACGUGGGGGCAUGAGCUGAAACCCUGAUUAAGUAGAUCCCUUGUCGAAAUUUAUUAUUUAUUUGAAAAUAGAAAGGCUACAAAAUGCGAUUUGGGUUUUCUCCAUAAUUUGCCUCUAAUCGAAUUUUAAUCGAAUGCAGCAACAAAAGCAAUAGAAGAAUCGAUGUAAAGUGAGAUGAUAAACAUUUUCUCUCUAAGGAAAAAAAAUCUAAUGCAUUAUUUUCUUCAUUAAGUAAUAUUUUUCUGUUAGGAAAAAUCCUGCCUAUUUAACAAUCCCGAUGAAAGAGAAACUAAGUUACAAUUGACAGAUGACAAAUUGAAAGCAUUAAUUCUGUAAGCUGCUAACAUACGCUUUAAUCCGGGAGUUAACUUGCCACAAGAAGAAACUAUUUUGGCGAAAAUGAUCGUAAGCGGUAUAGAAAUAUAAAGAGGAAAGCAAAAAAAAAGUAAUAUAUGUCUUAAAAGAUAAUUCUUCGGACGAAAAAUUUUUAAUAUCUUUAUUUUAUAGAAACUUCUAUCGGGUUAAAAGUAUAAGUCAAGAUAGUGGAUAUGAUUAAUGACGCAAUUAUAAAUGAACAAGAUUGUUUGAUUAAUUGAACAAGAAGUUUCUUGAUGUAUAAGGUCGACCAUACAUAUCUCUUUAUACUUUUCCAGUUAUUAAUUACUGGGACAACGCGUAACAAAAAUAUUCAACAUCAUAAUCACUUUACCCAAUAUCAAUCUCCUAUCGCCAAAAAGAUAAGGAAAGGUACCACCGGCUUUAUGUAAAACUUC